rnacentral:rRNA from 1 species
GAUGAACGCUGGCGGCGUGCCUAAUACAUGCAAGUCGAGCGAACAGAUAAGGAGCUUGCUCCUUUGACGUUAGCGGCGGACGGGUGAGUAACACGUGGGUAACCUACCUAUAAGACUGGAAUAACUCCGGGAAACCGGGGCUAAUGCCGGAUCACAUUUAGAACCGCAUGGUUCUAAAGUGAAAGAUGGUUUUGCUAUCACUUAUAGAUGGACCCGCGCCGUAUUAGCUAGUUGGUAAGGUAACGGCUUACCAAGGCAACGAUACGUAGCCGACCUGAGAGGGUGAUCGGCCACACUGGAACUGAGACACGGUCCAGACUCCUACGGGAGGCAGCAGUAGGGAAUCUUCCGCAAUGGGCGAAAGCCUGACGGAGCAACGCCGCGUGAGUGAUGAAGGUCUUCGGAUCGUAAAACUCUGUUAUUAGGGAAGAACAAAUGUGUAAGUAACUGUGCACGUCUUGACGGUACCUAAUCAGAAAGCCACGGCUAACUACGUG